GAUGAACGCUGGCGGCGUGCUUAAUACAUGCAAGUCGAGCGAAAAGAUGAGGAGCUUGCUCCUUUGUCGUUAGCGGCGGACGGGAGAGUAACAUGUGGAUAACCUACUUAUCAGACUGGGAUAAUUUCGGGACACCGGAGCUAAUACCGGAUAAUAUAUUGAUCCGUAUGGUUCAUUAGUGAAAGUCGGCUUUGGUGUCACUAAUCGCUGGAUAUGCGCCGCAUUAGCUAGUUGGUCAGGUAAAGGCUUAGCAAGGUAGCGAUGCGUAGCCGACCUGUGAGACGGAUCGCCCGCACUGGAGCUGGACCAGGGUCCAUGCUCCUACGGUAGGCAGCAGUAGGGAAUCUUCCGCAGUGGGCGAAAGCCUGACAGAACAGCGCCGCGUGAGUGAUGAAGGUCUUCGGAUCGUAAAGCUCUGUUAUUGGGGAAGAACAGCUGUGUAAGUAACUGUACACGUCGUGACGGUACCUAGUCAGAAAGCCACGGCUAACUACGUG
rnacentral:rRNA from 1 species